rnacentral:rRNA from 1 species
UACGAAGGGGGCGAGCGUUGUUCGGAAUUACUGGGCGUAAAGGGCGCGUAGGCGGCUUCUCAAGUCAGGGGUGAAAUCGUUCGGCCUAACCGGACAAGUGCCCCUGAUACUGCCGGGCUAGAGUCCGGAAGAGGCGAGUGGAAUUCCUGGUGUAGCGGUGGAAUGCGCAGAUAUCAGGAGGAACACCAAUGGCGAAGGCAGCUCGCUGGGACGGUACUGACGCUGAGGUGCGAAAGCGUGGGGAGCGAACAGG